GAAUGCUGGUAGGUUUACAGGUCAGAGUGCCGCAUGCCUUGAAUGGCUGCGGAGGUCCCGGGUUCAAUCCCCGGUCGGCUUCA
rnacentral:tRNA from 1 species